UGGAUGAUUCCAAUAGGGUCUAGCUGCAGCCUGAGGGGGCGAGUGGAGCUCCACUCUCGAACAGGAAAUACGUCACCUCCAAUAGUUUAAUUACUGUAUUUGCAUUAUUUGUAAGGGUAGGUUUAGGGUUGGGGUAGGUGUAGACAUUAGUAAAACAAGUAUUUGCAUUACUGUAAAGGGUAGGUUUAGGGUUGGGUUAGGUGUAGAUGUAAGUAAAACACAAGUGGAGGUGACGUAUUUCCUGUUCGAGAGUGGAGCUCCACUCGUCCAUGGUCUGCAGCCAGACCCUUCUCGAUGAUUCAGCUGCGGGCGCCAUCUUCUGGCGAGACGCGGGAAUUUAUUCUGCACGACCCUUAAAGUACACUGUCACGAAGUCGACAAACAGCUCCUGUCACGGUUGUUUUCUGUCUUCAGUUGAUGCUUGGACCCCUAAAAAUAGCCAAUACCUGAAAAUAAUGUCAUGUGCCAUACAUUAAUGAUUACUGCAAAUUUGUUAUUUUUGCCUAAUUUGGUGAAUUGUGGGACAACAGCCUAGAAGGUGUUUGAAAAAGUAUAUUUUCCCCCCCAGAAAAUUCAAAAUAGAGAAUUUUUAAAGACAGAAAUGAAACCAGAGGGCAUCACCCCCCCAAAAAUGUUUCUAGUCCUUUAUAGGUUUCAAAAGUUACGACCCAAAACAUAAAUCACUUUAUUAUAGCGCCACCUAGUGUCAGACUUAGCAGUGCACAAUUGGGACCAUCCUGCUGAGUUUGGGAUCUCUGAUGCCCAUACACUUUUAGGGCAGAAAAAUAAUGAAGAAGAAAAUCAGUACAAGCAUCUUCGACCAGCAGGUGUCACCGGUCUGGCGUUUCAAGCGCCUCAAAAGAACGAAUCAUUUUGAGAAACAAUUGGUUUCGAAAAGCUUCAUCACUACUGCAUUCAGCUUGAGAAGAUCUUGAUUGAUUAUUGGUAGCGGUUUCCACAUGAACGCCGAAAAGAUUGGCAGGAGUACACAGGUGGACAGACUGCAGCACUCAAUGGACAACUUAUAUAUUUACAGCUGUCCUCUUCAGUAAAAAUAAAGAUGCCAGACGUUUUGAAUCAUUGAUAUUUUAUUGUGUUUCUCCUCAGAGGGUCAGUCUGGU